rnacentral:rRNA from 1 species
UACGUAGGGUGCGAGCGUUAAUCGGAAUUACUGGGCGUAAAGCGUGCGUAGGUGGUGAGUUAAGUCUGUCGUGAAAGCCCCGGGCUCAACCUGGGAAUGGCGAUGGAUACUGGCUCGCUAGAGUGCGGUAGAGGAGAGUGGAAUUCCCGGUGUAGCAGUGAAAUGCGUAGAGAUCGGGAGGAACACCGAUGGCGAAGGCAGGUCUCUGGGCCGAUACUGACGCUGAGGAGCGAAAGCGUGGGGAGCGAACAGG